GACGAACGCUGGCGGCGUGCCUAAUACAUGAAAGUCGAACGCAGUGGGGACGGGUGAGUAACACGUGGGUAACCUCCCAUCAGAGGGGAUAACACUUGGAAACAGGUGCUAAACCGAUACUGAUGGAUGGACCAGCGGUGCAUUAGCUAGUUGGUGAGUGAACGGCUCACCUAGGCCACGUUGCAUAGCCGACCCGAGAGGGUGAUCGGGCACACGGGAGCUGAGACACGGCCCAGACUCCUACGGGAGGCAGCAGUAGGGAAUCUUCGGCAAUUGACGCAAGUCUGACCGAGCAACGCCGCGUGAGUGAAGAAGGUUUUCGGAUCGUAAAACUCUGUUGUUAGGGAAGCGGUAUCUAACCAUAAAGCCACGGCUUACUACGUGCCAGCAGCCGCGGUAAUAC
rnacentral:rRNA from 1 species